rnacentral:rRNA from 1 species
GUAGGUGGCAAGCGUUGUCCGGAAUUAUUGGGCGUAAAGCGCGCGCAGGCGGGGUUCGUUUAAGUCUGAUGUGAAAGCCCACGGGCUCAACCGUGGAGGGUCAUUGGAAACUGGAGAACUUGAGUACAGAAGAGGAAAGCGGAAUUCCACGUGUAGCGGUGAAAUGCGUAGAGAUGUGGAGGAACACCAGUGGCGAAGGCGGCUUUCUGGUCUGUAACUGACGCUGAGGCGCGAAAGCGUGGGGAGCAAACAGGAUUAGAUACCCUGGUAGUCCACGCCGUAAACGAUGAGUGCUAAGUGUUAGGGGGUUUCCGCCCCUUAGUGCUGCAGCUAACGCAUUAAGCACUCCGCCUGGGGAGUACGACCGCAAAGGUUG